rnacentral:rRNA from 1 species
AGAAUGAACGCUGGCGGCAUGCCUAACACAUGCAAGUCGAACGAAGGCUUCGGCCUUAGUGGCGCACGGGUGCGUAACGCGUGGGAAUCUACCCUUAGGUUCGGAAUAACAGUUGGAAACGACUGCUAAUACCGGAUGAUGACGUAAGUCCAAAGAUUUAUCGCCUAGGGAUGAGCCCGCGUAGGAUUAGCUAGUUGGUGUGGUAAAGGCGCACCAAGGCGACGAUCCUUAGCUGGUCUGAGAGGAUGAUCAGCCACACUGGGACUGAGACACGGCCCAGACUCCUACGGGAGGCAGCAGUGGGGAAUAUUGGACAAUGGGCGAAAGCCUGACGCAGCGACGCCGCGUGAGGGAUGACGGCCUUCGGGUUGUAAACCUCUUUCAGCUCUGACGAAGCGCAAGUGACGGUAGGAGCAGAAGAAGCACCGGCCAACUACGCGCCAGCAGCCGC